rnacentral:rRNA from 1 species
CGUGCAGGCGGUUUCGUAAGUCGAGCGUGAAAGCUCCUGGCUUAACUGGGAGAGGCCGUUCGAUACUGUGAAACUUGAGGUCGGGAGAGGGACGUGGAAUUCCCGGUGUAGUGGUGGAAUGCGUAGAUAUCGGGAGGAACACCAGUGGCGAAGGCGACGUCCUGGCCCGCACCUGACGCUAAGACGCGAAAGCGUGGGUAGCGAACG